CCCUUAGAUGUCCUGGGCCGCACGCGUGCUACACUGAUGCAUACAGCGAGCACUUCCCGGCCCCGAAAGGCGGCUGGUAAUCAGCAAUAUGCAUCGUGAUGGGGAUAGUUCUUUGGAAUUAUGGAUCUUGAACGAGGAAUGCCUAGUAAGCGCAGGUCAUUAGCCUGCGCUGAUUAAGUCCCUGCCCUUUGUACACACCGCCCGUCGCUCCUACCGAUUUCGAGUGGUCCGGUGAAUCUUUCGGACUGCGCGCGGCCUCGUGCCGUGUCGCGGAAAGUCAGGUAAACCUUAUCACUUAGAGGAAGGAGAAGUCGUAACA
rnacentral:rRNA from 1 species